rnacentral:rRNA from 1 species
ACCACUACCAUCGUUAUUAUCGAGGGUGUGACGGAGAAGGAUAGUGUGUGCUAGCGAUUGGAAAUGCUAGUCUAAGCGUUUAGGGAGUUACGGUAGGCAAAUCCGCUGUAACAAUUCUGAGGCGUGAUGGGGAAGGUCAUUAAGACCGAAGCACAUGAUUCCAUGCUUCCAAGAAAAGCAUCUAGAGAGAGAAGUAGUGCCCGUACCGCAAACCGACACAGCUAGAUGAGGAGAGAAUCCUAAGGCCGGCGGAAGAAUUGCAGUUAAGGAACUAGGCAAAUUGACCCCGUAAGUUCGCGAGAAGGGGUGCCUGCGAGAGCAGGCCGCAGAGAAUAGGCCCAAGCAACUGUUUAGCAAAAACACAGGUCUCUGCUAAAGCGUAAGCUGAUGUAUAGGGGCUGACGCCUGCCCGGUGCUGGAAGGUUAAGGGGAACACUUAGCGCAAGCGAAGGUGUGAACUUAAGCCCCAGUAAACGGCGGCCGUAACGAUAACGGUCCUAAGGUAGCGGAAUUCCUUGUCAGGUAAGUUCUGACCCGCACGAAUGGCGUAAUGACUUGGGCACUGUCUCAACUGCAAAUCCGGCGAAGUUGUAGUGCGAGUGAAGAUGCUCGCUACCCGCGAUUGGACGGAAAGACCCCGUAGAGCUUUACUGUAGCUUAGCAUUGAAUUCCGGUAUUGUCUGUACAGGAUAGGUGGGAGACUGGGAAGCUAGGGCGUCAGCCUUAGUGAGUCAACCUUGGGAUACCACCCUGACAGUACUGGGGUUCUAACAGGACGCCAUGAAGCUGGUGACUGGACAUUGUUAGGUGGGCAGUUUGACUGGGGCGGUCGCCUCCUAAAAAGUAACGGAGGCGCCCAAAGGUUCCCUCAGAACGGUCGGAAAUCGUUCGUAGAGUGCAAAGGCAGAAGGGAGCCUGACUGCGAGACCCACAAGUCGAGCAGGGACGAAAGUCGGGCUUAGUGAUCCGGUGGUACCUCGUGGGAGGGCCAUCGCUCAACGGAUAAAAGCUACCUCGGGGAUAACAGGCUGAUCUCCCCCAAGAGUCCACAUCGACGGGGAGGUUUGGCACCUCGAUGUCGGCUCGUCGCAUCCUGGGGCUGUAGUAGGUCCCAAGGGUUGGGCUGUUCGCCCAUUAAAGCGGCACGCGAGCUGGGUUCAGAACGUCGUGAGACAGUUCGGUCCCUAUCCGUCGCGGGCGUAGGAAAUUUGAGAGGAGCUGUCCUUAGUACGAGAGGACCGGGAUGGACUGACCUCUGGUGCACCAGUUGUUCUGCCAAGAGCAUGGCUGGGUAGCUGAGUCGGGAAGGGAUAAACGCUGAAAGCAUCUAAGCGUGAAGCCCCCCUCAAGAUGAGAUUUCCCAUAGCAUAAGCUAGUAAGACCCCUUGAAGAACACAAGGUUGAUAGGUCAGAGGUGGAAGUGCGGUAACGUAUGUAGCUGACUGAUACUAAUAGGUCGAGGGCUUGACC